GUUAACUUUUAGAAAGUAUUCUCGCACCGUAUAAAUACAUCUCAUUUUUCUCUGUUUUGUCAGUAGUUGUUUUUGGUAUUAUUCGUGCAACGUGGAAGCUAACUUAGUGGUUUGGUGUUCGUACAAAAAAGCAGUCCUAAAGAUCAUCUUAGUACUCUCAACCCGUAACCGCAAAUAGAAUAGCAGCAAUCUUAAGCAUGGACUUAAGUCAACUGAAUCAAACCUGUCUUGCAGAAGGUGAUUUUGAGCAGCCGAUUGUCAAACUGCAUGAAUUGCCGAUAGGCGUUCCGUUUAAAAUUACUAGAGCCAAAAUUGUUAAUACAAAAUUUGGCAAUUCCGUGUUGCUGCAAUUAGAAAAUUCCGUAGUAUUUCUUCCUACUCGCGUGACAGAAGCUUUCCGUCCGAGACUAGAACACUUUGCGUCGGGGCAGUACAAACUGGUCUACGAGGGAUCCAAAGAUAUUGGAAAGCCCAACUCUUUAAAGAAAUUCAAAAUAAUUCAAAAUUAAUCAACAUAUUAUACAGGAUUAUGGUCAAACAA